UACAGAGGGUGCAAGCGUUAAUCGGAAUUACUGGGCGUAAAGCGUGCGUAGACGGUUGUGUAAGUCGGGUGUGAAAGCCCCGGGCUCAACCUGGGAAUGCCAUUCGAGACUGCAUAGCUAGGGUGCGGAAGAGGGAAGCGGAAUUUCCGGUGUAGCGGUGAAAUGCGUAGAUAUCGGAAGGAACACCAGUGGCGAAAGCGGCUUCCUGGUCCAGCACCGACGUUCAGGCACGAAAGCGUGGGGAGCAAACAGG
rnacentral:rRNA from 1 species